GGGCCGGGGGCGGAGCCGGGCCGGGCACACCGGGCCGGUUGGGGGCUCCGCUCCUCGGCGAGAGCAACCGGAGCCCCGGCCACGAAGGGGUGCGACCCCCCCACUGGCCCCGCCCUCCCGGCCGAAGCCCGGCCAAUCAGAGCUGUUUUUACUGGCGAGUGGGCCGAGCCGGCCCAGCUGCUCUGAGGCUCUGGCAUGUCGGUUCCCGAUUCUGGUCCCCGGCCCCCAGCAGCGCCUGCCCCCUUCCCACCGGGGCCCCCCAUGAUGCCACCACCCUUCAUGCCCCCUCCAGGGCUCCCACCUCCUUUUCCUCCGAUGGGGCUCCCCCCUAUGAGUCAGAGACCACCAGCCAUUCCCCCCAUGCCACCUGGCAUACUGCCCCCAAUGCUUCCACCAAUGGGGGCACCGCCACCACUUACACAGAUACCAGGAAUGGUCCCUCCAAUGAUGCCGGGGAUGCUGAUGCCAGCGGUGCCUGUCACUGCAGCGACGGCUCCGGGUGCGGACACCGCCAGCUCUGCUGUGGCUGGAACAGGCCCUCCGAGGGCCUUAUGGAGUGAGCACGUAGCCCCUGACGGGCGCAUCUACUACUACAAUGCUGAUGAUAAGCAAUCCGUGUGGGAGAAGCCCAGCGUACUCAAGUCUAAGGCAGAGCUGCUGCUGUCCCAGUGUCCCUGGAAAGAGUAUAAGUCAGAUACAGGGAAGCCUUACUACUACAACAACCAGAGUCAGGAGUCCCGGUGGACUCGGCCCAAGGACCUGGAUGACCUGGAAGCCCUCGUCAAACAAGAGUCUGCAGGAAAACAGCAGACCCAGCAACUACAGACACUACAGCCACAACCACCUCAGCCACAGCCUGACCCUCCACCUAUACCUCCGGGUCCCAUCCCAGUGCCUAUGGCCCUCCUGGAACCUGAACCAGGUCGAAGUGAAGACUGUGAUGUGCUGGAGGCUGCCCAGCCCCUGGAGCAGGGCUUCCUGCAGCGGGAGGAGGGCCCCAGCAGCUCUACUGGACAGCAUCGGCAGCCACAGGAAGAGGAGGAAGCUAAGCCAGAACCAGAGCGAUCUGGCCUCAGUUGGAGCAACCGGGAGAAGGCAAAACAGGCUUUCAAAGAACUGCUAAGGGACAAGGCUGUCCCUUCCAAUGCUUCAUGGGAACAGGCCAUGAAGAUGGUAGUCACUGACCCCCGCUACAGUGCCUUGCCCAAACUAAGUGAGAAGAAGCAGGCGUUUAAUGCUUACAAGGCUCAGCGGGAGAAGGAGGAGAAAGAGGAGGCCCGGCUGAGAGCCAAGGAGGCCAAGCAGACCCUGCAGCAUUUCCUGGAACAGCAUGAACGCAUGACCUCCACCACCCGCUACCGGCGGGCAGAACAGACUUUUGGGGACCUGGAGGUCUGGGCUGUGGUCCCUGAGAGAGAGAGAAAGGAAGUUUAUGAUGAUGUCCUCUUCUUCCUGGCCAAGAAGGAGAAGGAACAAGCCAAGCAGCUCCGGCGUCGGAAUAUCCAGGCCCUGAAGAGCAUCCUGGAUGGGAUGAGCAGUGUCAACUUCCAAACCACUUGGUCCCAGGCCCAGCAGUACCUCAUGGAUAACCCCAGCUUUGCUCAGGACCAGCAGCUGCAGAACAUGGACAAGGAAGAUGCACUUAUCUGCUUUGAGGAGCAUAUCCGGGCUUUGGAGAGAGAGGAGGAGGAAGAGCGAGAACGGGCCCGGCUUCGGGAGCGGCGACAGCAGCGGAAGAAUCGGGAGGCCUUUCAGAGCUUCCUGGACGAGCUGCAUGAGACAGGGCAGCUGCACUCCAUGUCCACCUGGAUGGAGCUGUACCCGGCAGUCAGCACUGACGUUCGCUUUGCCAACAUGCUGGGCCAGCCGGGUAAGGCAGCCAGGCUUCCCCUUGUCUGCUCUGCUUUCCUACCCUGUCAGCCUCUCUGGACCUAACUCCCUGGUCCUGGCCGUGACCCUACCCUGAGCCUUGGGAAGCUGCCGCCCGCCAGGCCCCAUCUCUCCCUUUCUGCAGGCUCUACUCCUUUGGACUUGUUCAAGUUCUAUGUGGAGGAGUUGAAGGCUCGAUUCCACGAUGAGAAGAAGAUCAUAAAGGAUAUCCUUAAGGAUCGGGGCUUCUGUGUGGAGGUGAACACAGCAUUUGAGGACUUCGCCCACGUCAUAAGCUUUGACAAGAGGGCUGCUGCGCUGGACGCAGGCAACAUCAAGCUGACCUUCAAUAGUCUGCUGGAAAAAGCAGAGGCACGGGAGAGGGAACGGGAAAAGGAGGAGGCCCGAAGGAUGCGGCGCAGAGAAGCUGCCUUUCGAAGCAUGCUGAGGCAGGCCGUGCCUGCUCUGGAGCUGGGCACUGCCUGGGAAGAGGUCAGAAGCACAGCCUGGCCCCAAUCACCCUCAGGCCUGAGGGCAGCGGAGCUUCUCCACCACUGAGGGCCCACCCCAGUCACAGCACAAGCCCUGGGCCAGCUCCAGUUCCCUUCCUUCCUCUGCCCCAGCCCUGCCCAGUUCUCGUGGCGGUGUCCAAGCUGGUCCAGGCAGGGCCUGGUCUGAUCAGCAGUGCUCUCCCCGUUCAAGGUCCGUGAGCGCUUUGUGUGCGACUCAGCCUUUGAGCAGAUCACCCUGGAGUCGGAGCGGAUCCGGCUCUUCCGAGAGUUCCUGCAGGUGUUGGAGCAGACUGAAUGCCAGCACCUCCACACCAAAGGCCGAAAGCAUGGCAGAAAGGGCAAGAAACACCAUCGCAAGCGUUCACACUCACCCUCAGUGAGUCGGCAGGUAGAGGGACAUGGGGCUCUGAGUCAGAUGAAGAGGAGCUGCCCCCACCAUCCCUCCGGCCCCCCAAGCGGAGGAGGCGGAACCCCUCAGAAUCUGGCUCUGAGCCCUCCUCCUCACUUGAUUCAGUUGAAAGUGGGGGUGCUGCUCUUGGAGGACCAGGCUCCCCAUCUUCCCACCUUCUUCUUGGGUCAGAUCAUGGUCUUCGGAAAACCAAGAAACCAAAAAAGAAAACCAAGAAAAGAAGACACAAGUCGACCAGUCCUGACAGUGAGACGGACCCCGAAGACAAAGCUGGUAAGGAGAGUGAAGACAGAGAACAGGAACAGGACAGGGAACCCCGGCAGGCAGAGCUCCCUAACCGUUCCCCAGGCUUCGGAAUCAAGAAGGAGAAGACAGGCUGGGACACGUCAGAAAGCGAGCUGAGUGAGGGGGAGCUGGAGAGGCGAAGGCGGACACUCCUACAGCAGCUGGACGACCACCAAUGACCCCACGAGCUACUUUCUGCCUUGGACUUCGUGAGGCAGUGGCUCCAGGGUCGCCUCAGCAUCUGCCUCAGACUCCUUCGUCUUGUCUGGUCUGUGUCCACUUUUCCUAAAGUAACCCACCCCCAACACACUACUGUUAGCACCUCUCAAGGUUGCUUUUGGUGUUCAAGGGUCCCCUAGUUCUCAGACUAGUGCAGUCCUUGCCCUCAGCCCCAGACCAGAGAUGGGCAGUCUAUACCACGGGGUGGGUGAUGCCAGUAGAUAGUGUGAGAAGGGGUCUCCAGGAAAGAGACAGGCUGCUUGGACACAGCCUGGGUGGCCGAGGGCAGGGUCCUCACCCUCUAGCAUCAGUGCCUGCUCUUGCCUGACCUGGCCCUGGGGCUCCACCACUACUUCCUCUCCCCUGGGACCCGAUGUAUGUGUUCUGUUUUGUUUUUUAAAUAAUAUUUAUAACAUGAUCUACAA